rnacentral:rRNA from 1 species
AGGGAAUCUUCCACAAUGGACGCAAGUCUGAUGGAGCAACGCCGCGUGAGUGAAGAAGGCUUUCGGGUCGUAAAACUCUGUUAUUGAAGAAGAACGUGUGUGACAGUAACUGGUCAUGCAGUGACGGUAUUCAAUCAGAAAGUCACGGCUAACUACGUGCCAGCAGCCGCGGUAAUACGUAGGUGGCAAGCGUUGUCCGGAUUUAUUGGGCGUAAAGCGAGUGCAGGCGGUCUUUUAAGUCUGAUGUGAAAGCCUUCGGCUUAACCGAAGAAGGACAUCGGAAACUGGGAGACUUGAGUGCA